AUGAGUCCCCUCAGAGCUCUCAUUGCUGCCAGAGCUUUGCUCUGCAAGCCCAUCCACCUGCCCUUCACAGGGCGGCUCCUCUUGCUGCCAAAAGGAGAAAGGAGAAGGGAACUGAGUAGUUUUCCACUGCAGCCAGCUGCUGGGGACAGACCCUGGGCAGAGAUCAGGGGAGAGCAGGUGGCUCUGCCACACCAGUGUGCUCUGGAGGUAAAAGCAGGCAAAAAAGAGAGGAGAGAGAGUAAGGAUGGCACAAAGCCAACCUGCAGAAGCAGGCCCCCCACAUCAGAGAGGAUUUCUCCCAGAAACACCCUGGGCUCUCCACCUCCUCCCCCUCAGACCCCAGUGAGCAGGAGGGGGACAACAUCUCUCCCCCUGGAGCAAGCUGGCCUGCCCGCAGCCAAGCCAAGCAUGGCAAGCAGCAGCCCUGCAUGCAGCAACACGCUCGCAGGAAUGUGUUACUCCACUGGGCAAGGGGCCUGCCAGCAGCAUGCAAACACCCCCGGUGACCCACCCUUCCAGGUCGGAAAAACUCGUUCGUCUUUGCAGUUCCACACACUCCCUCCCACCCACAGCAGAUACCCACACGCAGCCCAGCAGCACCGCCUCCCCUUCCCGCCCGGGCCGGGCCCGGGAGCACCGGGAAGCAGCCGAGAGAGCCAGGGGCUCUUCUCGGAAGGGACCGGCCCCAGCGCCACACGAGAUGGGGCUGAGAGGAAAAGGGAUUGUCUGGGGACAGCCAGACGCCUUCCUCCUUCUGCAUGGGCGGGAACCAGUUCCCCACAUUCAUCCAGUCCAAGGCCAUCCAACUCACACAUGGGGCCACCUUGCUCCCUCCCCCAGGUAACCUCUCUCCAAUGCAGGAGGUGUUUUCACAGCUGCAAAAGCUGUGUGAGACCAGGGGAGAAGAGAGAGCUGCCCUCCCAUUGCCCACUCCGGCUGCCUUUUCCCCAUGCCUGGUGCCCAGAGCCCAGCCCUCGGGCAGUGGCAGGUACAGCUCAGGUGUGCCCAGGAGGGCCAGUGAACUUUGAGCAGCAUUUGCUGUGA
rnacentral:lncRNA from 1 species